CAGUACAAGCCGAAUUAAGGUGAAACCGCGAAAGGCUCAUUAAAUCAGUUAUGGUUCCUUAGAUCGUACCCACAUUUACUUGGAUAACUGUGGUAAUUCUAGAGCUAAUACAUGCAAACAGAGCCCCGAACCGGAAACGGAAGGGGCGCUUUUAUUAGAUCAAAACCAAUCGGCGGCGGGUCUUGAUCCGUCGUCGUUCCUAAUGGUGAGUCUGAAUAACUUUAUGCUGAUCGCACGGUCACGCACCGGCGACGCAUCUUUCAAAUGUCUGCCUUAUCAACUGUCGAUGGUAGGUUCUGCGCCUACCAUGGUCGUAACGGGUAACGGGGAAUCAGGGUUCGAUUCCGGAGAGGGAGCCUGAGAAACGGCUACCACAUCCAAGGAAGGCAGCAGGCGCGCAAAUUACCCACUCCCGGCACGGGGAGGUAGUGACGAAAAAUAACGAUACGGGACUCAUCCGAGGCCCCGUAAUCGGAAUGAGUACACUCUAAACCCUUUAACGAGGAUCAAUUGGAGGGCAAGUCUGGUGCCAGCAGCCGCGGUAAUUCCAGCUCCAAUAGCGUAUAUUAAAGUUGUUGCGGUUAAAAAGCUCGUAGUCGAAUUUGUGUCCCGCGCCGCCGGUACAUCGCUCGCGGUGUUCCACUGGCGGUCCGCGGGACGUCCUGCCGGUGGGCGCGGCCGUUUCCGUGGCUCGUCUUUCUACGGGGCGGGUCCGAUGCGGCGGCCCAACUUGAAAUCCCGCCGCGGUGCUCUUCAUUGAGUGUCGAGGCGGGCCGGCACGUUUACUUUGAACAAAUUAGAGUGCUUAAAGCAGGCUAAAACUUCGCCUGAAUAUAUCUUGCAUGGAAUAAUGGAAUAGGACCUCGGUUCUAUUUUGUUGGUUUUCGGAACCCCGAGGUAAUGAUUAAUAGGAACGGAUGGGGGCAUUCGUAUUGCGACGUUAGAGGUGAAAUUCUUGGAUCGUCGCAAGACGGACAGAAGCGAAAGCAUUUGCCAAAACGUUUUCUUGAUCAAGAACGAAAGUUAGAGGUUCGAAGGCGAUCAGAUACCGCCCUAGUUCUAACCAUAAACGAUGCCAGCUAGCGAUCCGCCGACGUUCCUCCGAUGACUCGGCGGGCAGCUUCCGGGAAACCAAAGCUUUUGGGUUCCGGGGGAAGUAUGGUUGCAAAGCUGAAACUUAAAGGAAUUGACGGAAGGGCACCACCAGGAGUGGAGCCUGCGGCUUAAUUUGACUCAACACGGGAAACCUCACCAGGCCCGGACACCGGAAGGAUUGACAGAUUGAGAGCUCUUUCUUGAUUCGGUGGGUGGUGGUGCAUGGCCGUUCUUAGUUGGUGGAGCGAUUUGUCUGGUUAAUUCCGAUAACGAACGAGACUCUAGCCUGCUAAAUAGGCGUACUUUCGACAUCUCAAAGGCCCCCCGGCGUGUCCGUCGCUUGUCGUCGGUUCGUUGUGGGCGGUUUUUACUGUCGGCGUACAUUUCAUUCUUCUUAGAGGGACAGGCGGCUUCUAGCCGCACGAGAUUGAGCAAUAACAGGUCUGUGAUGCCCUUAGAUGUUCUGGGCCGCACGCGCGCUACACUGAAGGAAUCAGCGUGUCCUCCCUGGCCGAGCGGUCCGGGUAACCCGCUGAACCUCCUUCGUGCUAGGGAUUGGGGCUUGCAAUUGUUCCCCAUGAACGAGGAAUUCCCAGUAAGCGCGAGUCAUAAGCUCGCGUUGAUUACGUCCCUGCCCUUUGUACACACCGCCCGUCGCUACUACCGAUUGAAUGAUUUAGUGAGGUUUUCGGACCGGUACGCGGUGACGUUUCGACGU
rnacentral:rRNA from 1 species